GGAAUUUUGGGCAAUGGGCGAAAGCCUGACCCAGCAACGCCGCGUGAAGGAUGAAAUCCCUCGGGAUGUAAACUUCUCAAGAACGGGAAGAAUACGUAGGGGACAAUACCCCCUAUGAUGACGGUACCGUUUGUAAGCUCCGGCUAACUCCGUGCCAGCCGCCGCGGUAAUACGGGGGGAGCAAGCGUUGUUCGGAUUUACUGGGCGUAAAGGGCGCGUAGGCGGUCAGCACAAGUCAGGUGUGAAAUCUCCGAGCUUAACUCGGAAAGGUCAACUGAUACUGUGCGACUAGAGUGCAGAAGGGGCAACUGGAAUUCUCGGUGUAGCGGUGAAAUGCGUAGAUAUCGAGAGGAACACCUGAGGCGAAGGCGGGUUGCUAGGCUGACACUGACGCUGAGGCUCGAAAGCUAGGGGAGCAAA
rnacentral:rRNA from 1 species